UUAAGUUAGAAAGGGCGCACGGUGGAUGCCUUGACACUAGGAGUCGAUGAAGGACGGGACUAACGCCGAUAUGCUUCGGGGAGCUGUAAGUAAGCUUUGAUCCGAAGAUUUCCGAAUGGGGAAACCCACCAUACGUAAUGGUAUGGUAUCCUUAUCUGAAUACAUAGGGUAAGGAAGACAGACCCAGGGAACUGAAACAUCUAAGUACCUGGAGGAAGAGAAAGCAAAUGCGAUUUCCUGAGUAGCGGCGAGCGAAACGGAACAUAGCCCAAACCAAGAGGCUUGCCUCUUGGGGUUGUAGGACAUUCUAUACGGAGUUACAAAGGAACGAGGUAGACGAAGCGACCUGGAAAGGUCCGUCGUAGAGGGUAACAACCCCGUAGUCGAAACUUCGUUCUCUCUUGAAUGUAUCCUGAGUACGGCGGAACACGUGAAAUUCCGUCGGAAUCUGGGAGGACCAUCUCCCAAGGCUAAAUACUCCCUAGUGAUCGAUAGUGAACCAGUACCGUGAGGGAAAGGUGAAAAGCACCCCGGAAGGGGAGUGAAAGAGAUCCUGAAACCGUGUGCCUACAAAUAGUCAGAGCCCGUUAACGGGUGAUGGCGUGCCUUUUGUAGAAUGAACCGGCGAGUUACGAUCCCGUGCGAGGUUAAGCUGAAGAGGCGGAGCCGCAGCGAAAGCGAGUCUGAAUAGGGCGUUUAGUACGUGGUCGUAGACCCGAAACCAGGUGAUCUACCCAUGUCCAGGGUGAAGUUCAGGUAACACUGAAUGGAGGCCCGAACCCACGCACGUUGAAAAGUGCGGGGAUGAGGUGUGGGUAGCGGAGAAAUUCCAAUCGAACCUGGAGAUAGCUGGUUCUCCCCGAAAUAGCUUUAGGGCUAGCCUUAAGUGUAAGAGUCUUGGAGGUAGAGCACUGAUUGGACUAGGGGUCCUCAUCGGAUUACCGAAUUCAGUCAAACUCCGAAUGCCAAUGACUUAUCCUUAGGAGUCAGACUGCGAGUGAUAAGAUCCGUAGUCAAAAGGGAAACAGCCCAGACCGCCAGCUAAGGUCCCAAAGUGUGUAUUAAGUGGAAAAGGAUGUGGAGUUGCUUAGACAACUAGGAUGUUGGCUUAGAAGCAGCCACCAUUUAAAGAGUGCGUAAUAGCUCACUAGUCGAGUGACUCUGCGCCGAAAAUGUACCGGGGCUAAAUACACCACCGAAGCUGCGGAUUGAUACCGAAUGGUAUCAGUGGUAGGGGAGCGUUCUAAGGACAGUGAAGUCAGACCGUAAGGACUGGUGGAGUGCUUAGAAGUGAGAAUGCCGGUAUGAGUAGCGAAAGACGGGUGAGAAUCCCGUCCACCGAAUGCCUAAGGUUUCCUGAGGAAGGCUCGUCCGCUCAGGGUUAGUCAGGACCUAAGCCGAGGCCGACAGGCGUAGGCGAUGGACAACAGGUUGAUAUUCCUGUACCACCUCUUUAUCGUUUGAGCAAUGGAGGGACGCAGAAGGAUAGAAGAAGCGUGCGAUUGGUUGUGCACGUCCAAGCAGUUAGGCUGAUAAGUAGGCAAAUCCGCUUAUCAUAAAGGCUGAGCUGUGAUGGGGAAGCUCCUUAUGGAGCGAAGUCUUUGAUUCCCCGCUGCCAAGAAAAGCUUCUAGCGAGAUAAAAGGUGCCUGUACCGCAAACCGACACAGGUAGGCGAGGAGAGAAUCCUAAGGUGUGCGAGAGAACUCUGGUUAAGGAACUCGGCAAAAUGACCCCGUAACUUCGGGAGAAGGGGUGCUUUCUUAACGGAAAGCCGCAGUGAAUAGGCCCAAGCGACUGUUUAGCAAAAACACAGCUCUCUGCGAAGCCGUAAGGCGAAGUAUAGGGGGUGACACCUGCCCGGUGCUGGAAGGUUAAGGAGAGGGGUUAGCGUAAGCGAAGCUCUGAACUGAAGCCCCAGUAAACGGCGGCCGUAACUAUAACGGUCCUAAGGUAGCGAAAUUCCUUGUCGGGUAAGUUCCGACCCGCACGAAAGGUGUAACGAUUUGGGCACUGUCUCAACCAGAGACUCGGUGAAAUUAUAGUACCUGUGAAGAUGCAGGUUACCCGCGACAGGACGGAAAGACCCCGUGGAGCUUUACUGUAGCCUGAUAUUGAAUUUUGGUACAGUUUGUACAGGAUAGGCGGGAGCCAUUGAAACCGGAGCGCUAGCUUCGGUGGAGGCGCUGGUGGGAUACCGCCCUGACUGUAUUGAAAUUCUAACCUACGGGUCUUAUCGACCCGGGAGACAGUGUCAGGUGGGCAGUUUGACUGGGGCGGUCGCCUCCUAAAGUGUAACGGAGGCGCCCAAAGGUUCCCUCAGAAUGGUUGGAAAUCAUUCGUAGAGUGCAAAGGCAUAAGGGAGCUUGACUGCGAGACCUACAANGGUGAGAAUCCUGUCCACCGUAAGACUAAGGUUUCCAGGGGAAGGCUCGUCCGCCCUGGGUUAGUCGGGACCUAAGGAGAGACCGAAAGGUGUAUCCGAUGGACAACAGGUUGAUAUUCCUGUACUAGAGUAUGUAGUGAUGGAGGGACGCAGUAGGCUAACUAAAGCAGACGAUUGGAAGAGUCUGUCUAAGCAGUGAGGUGUGAAUUGAGUCAAAUGCUUAAUUCUAUAACAUUGAGCUGUGAUGGGGAGCGAAGUUUAGUAGCGAAGUUAGUGACGUCACACUGCCAAGAAAAGCUUCUAGCGUUUAAACAUACUCUACCCGUACCGCAAACCGACACAGGUAGUCGAGGCGAGUAGCCUCAGGUGAGCGAGAGAACUCUCGUUAAGGAACUCGGCAAAAUGACCCCGUAACUUCGGGAGAAGGGGUGCUGACUUUAAGUCAGCCGCAGUGAAUAGGCCCAAGCAACUGUUUAUCAAAAACACAGCUCUCUGCUAAAUCGUAAGAUGAUGUAUAGGGGGUGACGCCUGCCCGGUGCUGGAAGGUUAAGAGGAGUGCUUAGCGUAAGCGAAGGUAUGAAUUGAAGCCCCAGUAAACGGCGGCCGUAACUAUAACGGUCCUAAGGUAGCGAAAUUCCUUGUCGGGUAAGUUCCGACCCGCACGAAAGGCGUAAUGAUUUGGGCACUGUCUCAACGAGAGACUCGGUGAAAUUUUAGUACCUGUGAAGAUGCAGGUUACCCGCGACAGGACGGAAAGACCCCAUGGAGCUUUACUGCAGUUUGAUAUUGAGUGUCUGUACCACAUGUACAGGAUAGGUAGGAGUCUAAGAGAUCGGGACGCCAGUUUCGAAGGAGACGCUGUUGGGAUACUACCCUUGUGUUAUGGCCACUCUAACCCAGAUAGGUGAUCCCUAUCGGAGACAGUGUCUGACGGGCAGUUUGACUGGGGCGGUCGCCUCCUAAAGUGUAACGGAGGCGCCCAAAGGUUCCCUCAGAAUGGUUGGAAAUCAUUCGUAGAGUGCAAAGGCAUAAGGGAGCUUGACUGCGAGACCUACAAGUCGAGCAGGGACGAAAGUCGGGCUUAGUGAUCCGGUGGUUCCGCAUGGAAGGGCCAUCGCUCAACGGAUAAAAGCUACCCCGGGGAUAACAGGCUUAUCUCCCCCAAGAGUCCACAUCGACGGGGAGGUUUGGCACCUCGAUGUCGGCUCAUCGCAUCCUGGGGCUGUAGUCGGUCCCAAGGGUUGGGCUGUUCGCCCAUUAAAGCGGUACGCGAGCUGGGUUCAGAACGUCGUGAGACAGUUCGGUCCCUAUCCGUCGUGGGCGUAGGAAAUUUGAGAGGAGCUGUCCUUAGUACGAGAGGACCGGGAUGGACGCACCGCUGGUGUACCAGUUGUUCUGCCAAGGGCAUAGCUGGGUAGCUAUGUGCGGAAGGGAUAAGUGCUGAAAGCAUCUAAGCAUGAAGCCCCCCUCAAGAUGAGAUUUCCCAUAGCGUAAGCUAGUAAGAUCCCUGAAAGAUGAUCAGGUUGAUAGGUUCGAGGUGGAAGCAUGGUGACAUGUGGAGCUGACGAAUACUAAUAGAUCGAGGACUUAACCAU
rnacentral:rRNA from 1 species